UACGUAGGGCGCGAGCGUUGUCCGGAAUUAUUGGGCGUAAAGAGCUUGUAGGCGGUUUGUCGCGUCUGCUGUGAAAUUUCGGGGCUCAACCCCGAACUUGCAGUGGGUACGGGCAGACUAGAGUGUGGUAGGGGAGACUGGAAUUCCUGGUGUAGCGGUGAAAUGCGCAGAUAUCGGGAGGAACACCAAUUGCGAAGGCAGCUCGCUGGGACGUCACUGACGCUGAGACGCGAAAGCGUGGGGAGCAAACAGG
rnacentral:rRNA from 1 species